GAUGAACGCUGGCGGCGUGCUUAACACAUGCAAGUCGAACGGUGAAGCCAAGCUUGCUUGGUGGAUCAGUGGCGAACGGGUGAGUAACACGUGAGCAACCUGCCCUGGACUCUGGGAUAAGCGCUGGAAACGGCGUCUAAUACUGGAUAUGAGCCUCUAUCGCAUGGUGGGGGUUGGAAAGAUUUUUCGGUCUGGGAUGGGCUCGCGGCCUAUCAGCUUGUUGGUGAGGUUAUGGCUCACCAAGGCGUCGACGGGUAGCCGGCCUGAGAGGGUGACCGGCCACACUGGGACUGAGACACGGCCCAGACUCCUACGGGAGGCAGCAGUGGGGAAUAUUGCACAAUGGGCGGAAGCCUGAUGCAGCAACGCCGCGUGAGGGAUGACGGCCUUCGGGUUGUAAACCUCUUUUAGCAGGGAAGAAGCGAGAGUGACGGUACCUGCAGAAAAAGCGCCGGCUAACUACGUGCCAGCCGCCGCGGUAAAAC
rnacentral:rRNA from 1 species